GGGGUUGUGGCUUAGUGGUAGAGUGCUUGCCUAGCAUGUGUGAGGUACUGGGUUCAAUCCUCAGCAUCCCA
rnacentral:tRNA from 1 species